GACAUAGGUGGCAACCGUUAUCCGGAAUUACUGGGCGUAAAGCGUGCGUAGGUGGUGAGUUAAGUCUGAUGUGAAAUCCCCGGGCUCAACCUGGGAAUGGCAUUGGAUACUGGCUCGCUAGAGUGCGGUAGAGGGUGGUGGAAUUCCCGGUGUAGCAGUGAAAUGCGUAGAUAUCAGGAGGAACACCAAUGGCGAAGGCAGCUCGCUGGGACGGUACUGACGCUGAGACGCGAAAGCGUGGGGAGCAAACAGG
rnacentral:rRNA from 1 species